rnacentral:rRNA from 1 species
AAUAGAUAUCCCGGUAGUCCACGCCGUAAACGUUGGGCGCUAGAUGUGGGGACCUUUCCACGGUUUCCGUGUCGUAGCUAACGCAUUAAGCGCCCCGCCUGGGGAGUACGGCCGCAAGGCUAAAACUCAAAGGAAUUGACGGGGGCCCGCACAAGCGGCGGAGCAUGCGGAUUAAUUCGAUGCAACGCGAAGAACCUUACCAAGGCUUGACAUACACGAGAACGGGCCAGAAAUGGUCAACUCUUUGGACACUCGUGAACAGGUGGUGCAUGGUUGUCGUCAGCUCGUGUCGUGAGAUGUUGGGUUAAGUCCCGCAACGAGCGCAACCCUCGUCGCAUGUUGCCAGCACGUUAUGGUGGGGACUCAUGUGAGACUGCCGGGGUCAACUCGGAGGAAGGUGGGGAUGACGUCAAAUCAUCAUGCCCCUUAUGUCUUGGGCUUCACGCAUGCUACAAUGGCCGGUACAAAGGGCUGCGAUGUCGUAAGGCGGAGCGAAUCCCAAAAAGCCGGUCUCAGUUCGGAUUGAGGU